GAAGGCCUCUGGGCUGUAAACCUCUUUUAUCAAGGAAGAAGAUCUGACGGUACUUGAUGAAUAAGCCACGGCUAAUUCCGUGCCAGCAGCCGCGGUAAUACGGGAGUGGCAAGCGUUAUCCGGAAUUAUUGGGCGUAAAGCGUCCGCAGGCGGUCUUGUAAGUCUGUCGUUAAAGCGUGGAGCUUAACUCCAUUUAAGCGAUGGAAACUGCAAGACUAGAGUGUGGUAGGGGCAGAGGGAAUUCCCGGUGUAGCGGUGAAAUGCGUAGAUAUCGGGAAGAACACCAGUGGCGAAGGCGCUCUGCUGGGCCAUAACUGACGCUCAUGGACGAAAGCCAGGGGAGCGAAAGGGAUUAGAUACCCCUGUAGUCA
rnacentral:rRNA from 1 species